GGGGGCGACCGGUUUCGACGUGGGUCGCGAAACUUCAGGUGCAUGCCGAGGUGCAAGGUUCCUCGUUAAACCGCUUGCAAACAACUAGUUGCCAACG
rnacentral:tmRNA from 1 species